GCCCCCACCUCCCGAAAUCGGAGGUCUCAAGGUUGGCAAGUAUGGUCAUGUUUUAGUUCUUGUCUUGCGCUCCUAUUGCAUUGUUGAUUGUCAUGUCAUGUACGGAAUGUACUUUGUGGACGCCGUCUGCUGCUCCUCACGCUGUAAGUCUUUGCUGUCGGCCAGCAUUCCGUUUUUGUUUACUUUGCAGCCAGUUCAGUUUUAGCUUCAUUUUGCAUAGCCAUCCCUAAGCUUCAGUGCCUUUUGUUUAUUUUUGGUUGAAGCAUUAGAUACCUUUUUACCUGCACACUGCCUCCCGCUGUUGUCUGCAUAUUGUGAUCACGACAAACCAUCUCCAAAGCCAUUAGCUACCUGUUGCCACUUACUGAUAUGGAAGAGUAUAACGGGGUUACUCUGCCGAGCCCGAGACUGCACCGACACAUCUUUUGUGGAUUAUAAUUUCUGGUUUGCAAAAAAUAUUUUUAAUGCAAUUAGGUGAAAUUACAUAAUCUCCCACGGCACACCAGACAAAAACACUCAUCUACAUAACAUGUAAUGGUGGUUCUUUGGUCAAAGUGUUGCAUAGAUGAUGUUUUACAGAUCAUCUUCACGCCGCUUUCAGACCGUCUCUUCAGGAUGCGCCAUUUUGUGGGCGGUCUUACCGACGCGGCUCACCUUAGGCAGCGUCUUCUCCUCGUCAUCUUUGUUGUAGCGGUGUAGCGUGCAAGGACGGGAGUGGAAGAAGUGUCAAAUGAUGGAGCUAACUGUUUUAAUGAGAUUCAGACUUGACUUCGAUCGAUAACUGAGCUGGAUGUCCUCAUCAAUGUGUUCUGUGAACAAAAAACGUUAGACCGGAAGUCUAGUAACUAAAGUUACUUGGGUGAAUAAUGUAACCUCACUAUACCGGUAUGUUUUAGCGCUUUUAUGGUGAGUUUACUGACAGAUAUAAGUAAGAACUUUACACUGCUUUAUAUUAGAAAUAGCAACAGCGGAGGAUGAAGGUCCCAUAACAAGAAGAUGGAGAAAAAGAAGAAGCUUAUCGACUACGUUGGUGGCACGGACUACAAAGGCGGAAUCUCGCAAAUUUUCAGGACUUAUGCAGAUCCCAAAUACGGAUCAGCAGGUGCCAGAAGGGACUCAAACGGCACCAAAAUAACAAGCUGGUGUUGGAGAAGAGGAUUUCCAUGAGGGUGUGUGUGUUGUCACCAAAACACACAGGUGUUCAACGGGCAGAGUGCUGUGCUUGUUUAGAGGAAACAAGAUGUGUAUACACACACACACACACACACACACAGGUUAUCAUUUGGAAUGGAGACCAAGUUGUUCGUGACUUGUGGGGACCACCCUUUCUACAGGUUGUGGAGGCAUGAAAACAAUGAGGUAAAAUGGCCACUGCCCAGUUACCUCAUACACGUCUUUAAAUCACCUCCCUCAGGAAAAUUAAACAAAGUGUUUGUGUGUGUGUGUGUGUGUGUGUGUGUGUGUGUGUGUGUGUGUGUAUAUAUAUAUGUAUGUAUGUAUAUUUAUCAAGUUUAUCUUGUUAUAUUCUUAUUUUACUGUUAGAUUUUUAUUCCCAUUGGUGGUUAUUAUUUAUUCUUAUUGUAAUAUUUUUCUAUUUUGUUUCCAUUUAUACCCCCAUUAUUUACUCUUUAAAUUGAUCUGAACUCUGUACAGUGCUGCUGGAAUUUUAAUUUUCCUGAAGGAAUCAAUAAAGUUCUAUCCAUCUAUCUA